rnacentral:rRNA from 1 species
GAGUUUGAUCAUGGCUCAGGAUGAACGCUGGCGGAGUGCCUAACACAUGCAAGUCGAGCGGCAGCGCGAGUAGUUUACUACUUGGGCGGCGAGCGGCGGACGGCUGAGUAACGCGUGGGAACAUGCCCCAAAGUGAGGAAUAACUGCCCGAAAGGGUAGCUAAUGCCGCAUACGAUCUUCGGAUUAAAGGAUUUAUCCGCUUUGGGAGUGGCCUGCGUACGAUUAGAUAGUUGGUGAGGUAAUGGCUCACCAAGUCUACGAUCGUUAACUGGUUUGAGAGGAUGAUCAGUCAGACUGGAACUGAGACACGGUCCAGACUCCUACGGGAGGCAGCAGUGAGGAAUCUUCCACAAUGGACGAAAGUCUGAUGGAGCAACUCCGCGUGCAGGAUGAAGGCCUUCGGGUCGUAAACUGCUUUUAUGAGUGAAGAAUAUGACGGUAACUCAUGAAUAAGGGUCGGCUAACUACGUG